rnacentral:lncRNA from 1 species
UUUUUGACAAAAUCGAAAUAAAUUUAUUUUGAAUAAAAACAAAACAAAUGAUGAUAAUCAAAUACCGUAAUAAUUAUAAUAUAGAUAAUAUUUAUGUACAAUAAUAUGACUAAAUUUGCGUACAUUGUUUGUUUUUUUUUUUCUUUCGUUAUUCCUUUAAUGGUUUAAUGUAUUGAGCUAUUAUAUAAUAUAUUUAUAGAAAUAUAAACGUUUAACAAAUAUUAUUCUACAUUAAUAACUAUAAUAAUAUUGUAUAAUAUUAUAAUAUACAUGUACGACUAUAAGCAAAUUUAGCCUUAUAUUAUAUAAUUUGUUUUUUUUUUUUUAUACAAAAACCAUAAUUUUUAUUAAUAUAAUAAUAUAUUUCCGUUAUAAUAUAAUAAUACAUUUUAGCUGUAUUCAUUUAUUAUUAAAAAAAAAAAAAAAACAAACAAACAUUAUAUAAAUGAUAAUAUAUUCAUUAGUCGUCGAUUAAAUAAAUAUAAUAUAAAUAUUUUUAAACGCACAAUAGUGUUACAUUUAUUUAUACGCAGUGUAACAAACAACGUAGUAUAACAAAUAUUUUUUUAUUUUUAUUUUUUUUAGAUUUUUCGUAUAAAACACAAACACACUAACGCGUACACACCCGCAACACGCUCACACAUCAAUGUACUCUGAGAGGUCGGGACGGAGAAUCGUACAAUAACGGAGAGAUUGAGAAAAUUGCAUUUUACGAAUAUGAUUCUUCUACUUAAAACUUCAUUUUUUUUUUUUUUUUUUAACGUACUAUAGUAUUUCUCCGAUUCCUCUCAAAAUAUUCCGUACAUCAGGAUAACCGCCUUAAAAAAUAAACUCGUGUGAAAUAUACCUUAUUCAAAAUAUCGUCAGCUCGAACAUGUUAAACAUGUUUUCGGUUCUUUUUCAUUUUCACACGUAACGCAUUUGAAAGGGAAUACAAAAUUACGUAUUCGUACAGAUUCGAUACGGUCAACGUUUUGUAUUUGCGUUACGAUUUGGAAUCGCAUUAAUUUUAUUGCGAGAUAUGAUCGUGGGAUACUUUGACCGUGACACAAUAUUUUGAUGUACAUGAUAUUUUGAGAGUGCAUCAUUUUUUUCCAAUUCAAAAUGUAAUACAGUGAAUAGUGUAACGACCCGGUUUUUACUGUUGGUACCUAUAUGUAUAUUAUAUUAUAAUAAAUCGAGAAUCACAACUGACAUAAUAUAUGGGACAACAUGUGUGACAGUUGUAAAUAUCUUGAAAAAAAUAAAAGUAAAAUAAAAAUCGAUAACAUGAUAUUUUAAACAUGGCGUUUCAAGCGGAUAUACGUCGUCGUUUAGACGGUUUGCGCAUUGUGCGCGCCCAUUGUCGUACCGAAAUCAAUUCAAAACGGAGAAUCUGUAACGGCAACGCGAGUCGAAAUAUUAUUAACCGUAUAGACGUGUCGAUCAGCGUGAUCGUAAGUAUUUUCAAGUAUAAUAAAUGUAUCGUAUAAUGCCGACUAAAUUGUGAAACGCAAAGCUUAAUGGACUUUUCGUACAAUUUUUCCACGCCGAAAUAUGCGUACGUUUCCAAACGGUGUACUGCACUUAGGACGCGUAUAAAUAACGAACGCGUAAACACCGGAAAAAAUAAACAAUAAAACAAAAAUUACAAUCGGUUUUCCGUGGAAGAAUAAAUAUUAUUCACAUAUGUAUUAUAGUAUAAUAUAAACAAUUAAAUUGGUGUUGUAGUUGACGCCGAAUUUUCUUAUCAAAGAGGUCCGUGUUUAUAUUUUGUCAAUAUUUCAACAAUUUAAUCAAAUUCGAAUUCGAAUUGUAAAUUGUACACUUACAGUAACGUAUAGCAGUAGUAUAUUUUUUGCAUCAUCAUGUCGAUUCAGUAUCGAAAAUUGCCGACAUCGUUGGCCAACGCUAAUAACGUUUGGUCGGUUUACUACUGUUUCAUAACACUACGACGAUAUAGGAAUAAAUCCACAAAACAAUAAUAUAGAAAAUUAUGCGAGUUUAGCUCUUAUCAUAUCGAACAAAAUGUAAACUCGGACCCUUUUGAUAAGAAAAGUAGGCCGUUUUGUUGACAUGAACAUUUUACGCUAAUUCUAGAUUAAAGUUGUUUAAUGUUAGUAUAUCUGCGGCUAUUUAAUAUUCAAACUUUCCCGGAGAAUCGCCUAUGCCUUAAUAUUAUUGCGGUACAGUAAUAACCUCGGGGGAACAAUGCUGAGGUCGUUUUCGACAGCGCAAACCGAUAGCCCUGAACUUUCCCGUUGAUUGUACACUUUUCAAAGAAAAGAAAACGUUGGAAAGUAUUUUGCCAUACUAAAACAGCACUCAAAAUUUUAGAAUUGGAAAAAAAAAAAAACACCAAAAACACGUUGUAAGUUUCACGUUCCACAAACUAUUUUUUUUCCAUAGGUUUUUAUCUGUUCCUUGUACCUUUGUACCUACUUUGUCCAAUAUAAAAACAUAGGCUUCUCGUUGAAAAUUUCGGAACACAAACUUUGAUCAAAAUAAUGUAUGAGUAAACUCAGCAGAAAAAAAAUUCCUUAAAAAAACAAAAAUACAUUGGAAAAAAAAAUUUUGAAUUAUCCUCCCGAACAAUUUUGAAAAACUGGAUUUAUCUUGUUGUUUCAGCGAGCCCUUCAUAUAGUGUACAUUCGAUUUUUAUUCAUCUGCAAUUUUCUAGAUUUUUUGAUCGUCAGAUGUAAACAAAUUCGAUUCCUUUGGUAUUUUUUCGGUUAAACUCGGAAAAAAACCACAUCCUGAAAAAAAAUACCGCAGCUUUACUCUUCGCAUCUGAUCGCUACACAUAAUUAUCAUACAGGUGGAUACCGAGUGACAGAAUAUGAAAUAUAAAAAAAAAGUCCAAAACAUUUAAUCAAACGGAAUUGUGUUUUGCGUUCACCGUAAAAAAAAAAAUAUUAUUAUAAAUUAUCGUUUGUGUGAAUCGUCUGCGACUACAAAGUCACGUAUCGAGUAAACAUUUGAUUUUUUUUUCCGGUUGCAAACUUUCGUUUGACCACGGGCAGUUCUAAUAACGGUUUCGUUUUCACGUGCGAAGGUCACGUCACGAAUCAAAACUAAUAUUUUCCCGAAAACUACCGAUUCCUAAAAACGCUUAGGUACUACAAACUCGAAGAAAAGCGACACAAAGGUUAAGUCGAAAAGCUAUUCCCUCGCAAUGAACGCGUUUUCGAAUAUCGUUAAAUCGGAUCGCUACACAUUCGACACUGCGAUCAAUUGAAACUUGAUAAAUAUCUAUUGAUUUAUGUUUUAUCGGUAAACUUUACAGUUUGUGUUAGGUUAGGUUUUUUUUUUUUGCUUUGUGCAACACAAAUAACUGCACUCGGUAAUCGUUUGAUGCGUACGUCCAAAGUAUUUGUUUAGUUCAAAGAAGAAAAAAUCAGAUUGCGCGCACGAGGACGAACAAGGAUGAGCGAAAAACUGGGUCACAGUUUCGGUAUCGAUAUUCACGCGUGUGGUAUUACCGUGUCAAUAACAACAAAACCGCCGGAAUGUGUCGAUAUAAUAAUUACCACGUGUUUACACUGGACCAUAAAUAUGGAUUAUUAGCUAUAGCGAUUCGGGAUUAUUAUUGUAUUUUGUCUUCAUCCACAUCGACCACAACACCACGUGUACAAUGUAGUUUAUCGCGUUUAACGAUAAUCUCGGUAAAGGCCAUGUCAAUGUACCUCAAAUAUAUAUUGAAUGAUUGAAACUGACGCGAAUUUUACAACCCUUAGAAGGAUUUUCGAACGUAUCCUAAAAGAAAAAAUACCUGUGAACGGCAGAGAUCCGUCGCAAUAGAAACGAAUUCUCGACUCAAUUACCGAAGUAUAGCAAUGAAGCGG